AACGAACGCUGGCGGCAUGCCUAACACAUGCAAGUCGAACGAAGGCUUCGGCCUUAGUGGCGCACGGGUGCGUAACGCGUGGGAAUCUGCCCUUGGGUUCGGAAUAACAGUGGGAAACCGCUGCUAAUACCGGAUGAUGACGUAAGUCCAAAGAUUUAUCGCCCAAGGAUGAGCCCGCGUAGGAUUAGCUAGUUGGUGGGGUAAUGGCCCACCAAGGCGACGAUCCUUAGCUGGUCUGAGAGGAUGAUCAGCCACACUGGAACUGAGACACGGCCCAGACUCCUACGGGAGGCAGCAGUGGGGAAUAUUGGACAAUGGGCGAAAGCCUGAUCCAGCAAUGCCGCGUGAGUGAUGAAGGCCUUAGGGUUGUAAAGCUCUUUUACCCGGGAUGAUAAUGACAGUACCGGGAGAAUAAGCUCCGGCUAACUCCGUGCCAGCAGCCGCCGUAACAC
rnacentral:rRNA from 1 species